CUCAGAAAUAUUUGACAUUGAUUAUCAUUGAAUUGGAAAGAUUAGUUAUUACAACAUAACAAAUAUUCUUUUAUAGAAUUGAGAGUUUACCCAACUAACAUAUUACAUGUUUACCACACUACCCUUGAUGAUUUAACAUCUAAUACCCCCUCUUAAAUCAGUAAUUGUUGGAGUAGUACUAACUAACUAUUCAAGUGUAGAACUGCAGAACAUGGAUUAAAAACCCAGCGUGCUUCUUAAUUCUUUUGCAUCUUUUCUUUUAAUUCUGGGAAAACCUUUGUCCUACUUAUCUGUCCACCUGUUAUUCUCAUCAUUAUUCACAGUCAUUCCUUUUCUUAAAAAGAAGAGAGAGUCAAACCAAAACAAAAAAACAAAGAGAGAGAAAAAUCCUACUUAUUUCAGUUUCAGAUCCUGACUUGUGAUUUAUCCAGUUUAAUCAUCUGAAAAAAAUUUUACACACAAAAUAUUCCAAGUUAGGUUAUAAAUCAAUCAUACAUGAAAUUUCAAUUUUAAUAACCUGCAAAGAUUAAUAUAAAUAUUUUGUGAUACUGCUCUAGUGAAAACAUCUGCCAGUUGAUUUUCGGAACAUACAUGUUCAACUUUUAAAUGAUUUUUAGAUAUUAAUUCCCUAAUAAAAUGAAUGUCCAUUUCUAUAUGUUUUGAUUUUUGUUUAAUCACUGGAUUUUUAGCCAUAAAAAUUGCCAAUUUGUUAUCAAAAAAUAAUUGUGGUACACAAUGUAUUGGAAAACAUAAGUCUCUGCAGAUAAAUGUUGUCCAUCUAAUUUCUGCAGCUAGGGUUGCUAAUGUCCUAUAUUCUGCACUGGAUCUGGAUACUGUAUCUUGUUUCUUAGAUAUCCAUGUUACCAAAUUUCCUUCAAUAAAAACACAUAAACCUGUUGUCUAUUUUCUAGAGUCUGGGUCUCCUGCAAAAUCAGCAUCACAGCACCCAAAAAAUUUAUUCUUUUUAGACGUUUUGGUGAAAUGUAGUCCAUUAUUAAAUGUUCCUUUGAUAUAUCUCAGAAUUCUCUUAGUUGCCGCUAAAUGUCCUGUUCUAGGCUCAUGAACAAACUGAGCAACUUGAUUUAUUGCAUAAACCAGAUCUGGUCUUGUUUGAAUUAGAUAUUGUAAAGAUCCAAUCAAGGCUCUAUAGUUCAUCAUAUUAUAUUUUGAUAGUAUGUUGAGGGCAUACCUAGAUUGAUUCAUAUAUAUGCUACCAUCAUUGUUGUAUUUUAUUUCUAUUUCAAGAAAAAAAAUUAGAAUUCCUAGAUCUCUACAUUUAAACUCCUUGCAUAAGUGUUUUAUGAACAACUCAGUUUCAUUAAAGUUAUUCCCUGUUAUUAUUAGAUCAUCAACAUAUACAACCAUCCAGAUAAAAAAUUAUCUUUAAAAUAGGUGAAUAAUGAUGAGUCUGAGAGACUAUUGUAAAACCCAUUUAAUACUAAGAAGUCUCUUAAUCUAUUGUACCAGGAUUUAAAAGCUUGUUUAAGCCCAUAAAUGACUUUAUUUAACUUGCAUAUAUGAUCUGGAUAUUCUAUUUUAGCAAAACCAGGUGGUUGUGCUAUGUAUACAGUUUAAAUUAACUCUCCUUGUAAGAAGGCAUUUUUAACAUCUAUUUGCUUUAGCUUAUAAUUUCUAUUCAUAGCAAGUGAUAUUAAUAUUCUUACUGUUGAUGAUCUUACAACUGGAUUAUAGAUUAGUCCAUAAUCUAUGUCUUUAGUUUGUUUAAAAUCUUGCGCCACUAAUCUGGCUUUGUAUCUUUCUAAACUUCCAUUAGCUUUCUUUUUAAUUUUGAAUACCCACUUGGUUCCUAUUAAAUUUACUUUCUUAUCUGGUGGAACUGGAUUCCAAGUAUUAUUUUCUAUUAACGCCAUGUAUUCUUCAUCCAUAGCUUAUUUCCAGUGAGGUAUUUUUAUGGCAUCUUUGAAAUUUUUAGGAGUCAAGGUGUUAUUUUCAAUUACCUCAGCAAUCAAUGCCUUGGGUAAGUUUACUUCAUAAAUGUUGUAUUUCUUUGGGAAUGUUAUAGAUUUUUGAGUUCUCCUUAACUCUUCUAUGUGAUUUUGAAAUUCUCUUACAGUUGAGACGGGAACCGACUGACUUGUUUCAACAGAAUUUGUGUUUUCAAGUGUUACUUCUACUGUAUUUUCAAAAGAUACCUCUUCUGUGUUAUUUUGUUCAGAUGUUGUAGAAGUACUGUUUGGUAAACUACUUAAAAUCCUUUGUUGUUCGGAAAUAUUGUUUCCAGAAUUGACACUUUCUUCAGUCUGUGUGUUCUCAUCAACUAUGUUGUUACUAUCAUGAUUUGUCUAUUGAAUGGUAGGAGCUUGAGUAUUUGGUUCUAUGACUAUAUCUCUAUUACCUGAUAUAGGUAAAUGUAAAAAUUCUUUCGUCGUGAUUUCUUUCUUUGAAGUGUUUAUUUUAUAAUCUUUAAAUGGAUAAACAUCUUCAUAGAAUUGAACAUGUCUAGAUAUGAUCAUUGUUGAGUCCUUAAAUUUUAAACAUUUAUAUGCAUUAUGCGCUGGUGAGUAUCCAAGAAAACAACAAUAAUUUGAUGUUGGUUCAAAUUUGUUUCUAAAAUUCUUAGGUAUCAACGGAAAGCAUAAUGAUCCAAACACUCUUAAGUAACUUAAAUCUAAGUCUUUGUUAUAUAGACCAGAAAAAGGUGAUUUAAAACCUAAUGGUUUUGAAGGAAGUCUAUUUAUUGAAUAGAUAACAGCUGAACAUGCCUCUACCCAAUAUUGUUUAGGUACUUCAGAUUGUGAAAAAAAACAUCUGACUAUUCCAAUUAUCUGGCCAUGUCUUCUUUCUACAAGACCAUUCUGUUCAGGAGUAUAAGGUGAAGAAAAUCUAUGAAAAAUUCUUAAUUCAUUACAAAAAAAUUUAAAUUUCUGAUUGCAAAAUUCCCCACCUCCAUCUGUUUGUAUUAUUUUAAUAGUGUGUUCUAAUGAUUUUUCUAUCAUUAUUUGAAAUCUUUUGAAAGUUUCAAAUACUUGAUCUUUUGUUUUCAAAGGGAAGAACCAAUAAAAUCUAGAGAAUUCAUCAAUAAUUAAGAGAUAGUAUUUAUCUCCAUUGAUUGAUGAAGUUGGAGCUGGGCCCCAUACGUCCAUAUGAAAUAUUUCCAACGGUAUAUUACUAUAUUCUUCCCUACAACUAAACAACUUCUUUUUCAUUUUAUUUAGGGGACAAUGUAUACAAUUUUGUUUUAAAUUUUUAUGAUUAAUUUCAUGAUGUUUUAAAAGUCUUAACAGUAUUUGAUCUGAUGGGUGUCCACACCUUCUAUACCAUAAUUUUGUUGAAUUUAUUGUUAACUUAGAAGUUGUUGCCAACUUCUUAAUUUCAUAUAUGUUUGAUGAGUUUAGAUAGUAUAAGCCUCCAUGGCUUUUACCCUCAAUUAAAUCCUCACCGCUUUCAUUGUCUUGGAUAAUGAAUCCAGAUUCAUUUAAAAUGAAACUACAUUUUAAAUCCUUGGCCAUUGAUCUUAUGGAUAACAAGUUCAUUUUCAUGUAGGAACACAAAGAGUAUUCCUUAAUGGAAUCUCUCCACUGUUUGACUUUAAUCUAACAGUUCUUAUAUGUGAAAUUUUUAAACCUAAGUCAUUACCAAUCGUAAUAUUAUUCAUACCAGAAUAUUCUUGAACGUCAGAAAGAGCUUCCAAGUCAGGAGUCAUGUGAUUAGUCGCUCCUGAAUCAAGUAGCCAGUUUCCUUCUGGAGCAUCUUCAUUUUUUUUCAUGGACGCAGCAAAAGCUUUCAAUCCUUUCUUGCAAGUCCUAGCAUUGUGACCUGCCUUUUCACAGAGUUGAUAAACUAUUGAACUGUUGUUACCUGAGCUGCUAUUGAUCGACCGACGCCAUCUGUUGUUGUUCGACUUGUUGUUGUAGUUUGAUUUGUCUCUAUUAUUAUUGUUGUAAUUUUGUCGGUUGUUGUUGUGGUCUUUGUUUCUGUUCUGACGAUUUUGUCCUCUUUUAUAAUUUGCAGCAAAUGCAGCGGGUACAUCAGAGUUUGCCAUAUUUGCCAAAUUCAUUCUAUGAAUGUACUUAUCUUCUUGAAUGACUAGUUGUAUAAACUUGUCAUAAAGUAGAUUUCGUUGGGAACAUAAACCCGAAACAAAAGGACGGAAAUCCGCACCCAGUCUAUCUGUGACAAAAAAUAUUUUUGUCUUGUCAGUGACAACUUCACUGGCUGCUGCUAAAGAGUCAGUUAAAUAUGUUACUUUGAUUAUGAAAUCUCUAAUCGAUUCAUCUUUUUUUUUUUAAAUUCUUAGUUCAUCCCGAAUUGCUUGUUGAUGUAUUGCCUUCCUUGGUGAUAGAUGCAAUUCUAGUUUCUUCCAACACUCAUACGCCGUACUGUGGUUCAUUACCAAUGAAAACAUCGGUGGUCCAACUGAAGAUUGAAUCCAUUCCAAAACUGCCCAGUUCUUUUCUAACCAUAUCUCAUGAGCUGGAUUAGGUGAGACGUCUCCUCUCUUUUCAGGGGGAAUUUCUUGUUUGUCAUCUACAAUAUCAGAAACAUGAUUCAACCAGAAUAAGUUCGCCAUUUGACCUCUUCAAAACAGAUAUGUUGAUGCUCCUUCUAGCGGAGUUCUAAUCCAGUGGGAGACUUGACAUUUAUAUAGAGAAUCGGGGAGAGUAGCCUUAUCAUGAUUUGCCAUCAGAGAUCAAAAAAUGACUACAGUGAAAGUAAAAUAAAUUUCACCACUACAACUUUCUAAAUGAAUCGCAACUAAAAUGCGAUAAAGGAAUUGUUUUUCUUAAAAUUUAUUUACUGAAUAUCAUAUAUCAGCAAAGAAAUUGAUAACCAAUCAACAACUACAAAAAAAAAACAAAAAAAAUAAAUAAAUUGCUAACCUGUAAUAGCAAUCAACACCUGUAAUCACAAAUCAAGAAAAGAUAGAAAAAAAAACAAAAUAAAAAAAUCUAACCUGUAAUCGUAGAUUGCAGAACCUGGAAUUUGAAGAAUAAAAACAACAACAACAAAAAUACGCAAGUCGCAAAUCCCAAAUUUAAUCUGGAAUUGGAAUUUAAUCGAUUGUAGAUCUGAAAUUUAAUCCCAGAUCUUGUAACAAGAAAGAAAAAAAAAUCAAUUUUAGUAAAUCAAUUUUAAUCACAGAUGGCGUGCGGAAAUCGCAUACACACACCGUGCUGUAGAACAAACACGCACCGUGCUGAAAUCAGAAAUAAAAAAUGCAGAAAAGAAAAAAAAUCGUAUGAACUAAAUCGCACUGAACCGAAUCGUAUGAAAUCAGAAAUUGUAUGAAAUCCGAAAUCCGAAAUCGCACUGCAACAAAUCGCAAGCAGGAAGGAAACCAAAUCGCGCACGCAGGAGGGAAUUUCACCGGCUGCUGCUGCAGAACUCGGCGAUCAGAAAUAACGGAAAUCGCAAUCAUGCACGAUCAGAAAUUCGACGAUCACGCACGAAGAAGAAUCGCAAUCAAAAUAAAAAAUUUCAAGAUCAGUAUUUCAGAUCGCACGCAAAUCAAAACUCGAUCAGAAUCAGAUCGGAAAGAAUAUCGCAAUCAAGAUCUAAGAUUAACAAAAUCAAGAUCUGAAAUUAAAAUCUAUAAAUCUAAAAUCAAACCUGAGAAGAAUCGACGAAGAAGACAAGCGCAGAUCCGACACGAACGCGGGAGAAUUGCAGAGGCGCUCGCGGGAGGGAUCGUAGUGACUCAGAUGAAUCUGCAACUUCCAGCAAAUCUGCAAAUCCAGCGAAGAGAAAUAAUCGCAAAUCUACAGAGAAAUAAGAGGGAAUCCAAAAUCGCACGGAAUCGCGGAAAAAGACGAUCUCGCGGAGGAAGACGAUCAAUGAAGCUAGAAAACUUAUACCAUCUCAAAAAUGCUUAACAUUGAUUAUCAUUGAAUUGGAAAGAUUAGUUAUUACAACAUAACAAAUAUUCUUUUAUAGGAUUGAGAGUUUACCCAACUAACAUAUUACUCUCACAAUAUCUCAACUCUGUAAUUAGUGUAAAC
rnacentral:lncRNA from 1 species